ensembl:snoRNA
AUCCUUUUGUGGAUCAUAAGCAUGAUGAUUGGUUUUUCACACUAACGUGUGAAAUGUGCCUCCUUCAAGCCUUAUUAUAGCAUUGGCAUAUUACCCAUUGAAG